rnacentral:rRNA from 1 species
GUGCUACAAUGGUCGGUACAGAGGGUUGCCAAGCCGCGAGGUGGAGCUAAUCCCAUAAAACCGAUCGUAGUCCGGAUCGCAGUCUGCAACUCGACUGCGUGAAGUCGGAAUCGCUAGUAAUCGCGAAUCAGAAUGUCGCGGUGAAUACGUUCCCGGGCCUUGUACACACCGCCCGUCACACCAUGGGAGUGGGUUGCACCAGAAGUAGCUAGUCUAACCUUCGGGAGGACGGUUACCACGGUGUGAUUCAUGACUGG